UACAGAGGGUGCGAGCGUUAAUCGGAGUUACUGGGCGUAAAGGGCGCGUAGGCGGUGAUGUGAGUGUGAUGUGAAAGCCCCGGGCUUAACCUGGGAAGUGCAUCGCAAACGACAUGACUGGAGUAGAUGAGAGGGUGGCGGAAUUUCCGGUGUAGCGGUGAAAUGCGUAGAGAUCGGAAGGAACGUCAAUGGCGAAGGCAGCCACCUGGCAUCAUACUGACGCUGAGGCGCGAAAGCGUGGGGAGCGAAC
rnacentral:rRNA from 1 species